UAAUACAUGCAAGUCGAACGCACAGCGAAAGGUGCUUGCACCUUUCAAGUGAGUGGCGAACGGGUGAGUAACACGUGGACAACCUGCCUCAAGGCUGGGGAUAACAUUUGGAAACAGAUGCUAAUACCGAAUAAAACUUAGUGUCGCAUGACACAAAGUUAAAAGGCGCUUCGGCGUCACCUAGAGAUGGAUCCGCGGUGCAUUAGUUAGUUGGUGAGGUAAAGGCCUACCAAGACAAUGAUGCAUAGCCGAGUUGAGAGACUGAUCGGCCACAUUGGGACUGAGACACGGCCCAAACUCCUACGGGAGGCUGCAGUAGGGAAUCUUCCACAAUGGGCGAAAGCCUGAUGGAGCAACGCCGCGUGUGUGAUGAAGGCUUUCGGGUCGUAAAGCACUGUUGUAUGGGAAGAACAGCUAGAAUAGGGAAUGAUUUUAGUUUGACGGUACCAUACCAGAAAGGGACGGCUAAAUACGUGCCAGCAGCCGCGGUAAUACGUAUGUCCCGAGCGUUAUCCGGAUUUAUUGGGCGUAAAGCGAGCGCAGACGGUUGAUUAAGUCUGAUGUGAAAGCCCGGAGCUCAACUCCGGAAUGGCAUUGGAAACUGGUUAACUUGAGUGCAGUAGAGGUAAGUGGAACUCCAUGU
rnacentral:rRNA from 1 species